rnacentral:lncRNA from 1 species
GCCAGACACAGGUCCUGGUUCAGCACUCCUGACCCAUGGGCUGUAGCCCUGGUAUGCUAGGAAUUGCUUGUAGCUCCCUCCUCAGUGUUGGAUUCUGGUUGCUGGGAUAUCCAAAAGGUUAGCAGGCUGCUCAAAUGCACUCUGGUGGAGCAAUGCAGUCAGGCUGGGCAGAAAACUUUGCACUAUGUACAUAUUUCCUUUGGGCAGCCAGAUAGGAGCCCUUGGAGGACCUGGCAGGGAGGUGGUCCUGCAGGACAGAUGUGCCCCCAUCCCAGGGGGCUCUCCAACCUCCAGAUCACAGGCCAGUACCAGUCCACGAACUGCUAGGAACUGGGCAGCACAGCAGGAGUGGGAGAGGUAUCUCGACCUCCAGUAGAAGCAGACUCUUAUCUUCAGCAGAAGCCAUCACUAGUUGUAGCAGCCUCCCCACAACAUUGGUAUCUGCCCUUCCAUCUCCUUUGGAGGAAAUAACCCUGAAUUGCCUGAGAAAUGAUAUUGACCUCUUCUAAAGCAAUUGUCAUGCAAGACAAUGUUAAUUCUCCUCAGGACUUACCCGAACUAUCCCUCUUUGCUUAUAUACCUACAACUACACUUCAUUCCUAGUAGGAUACUAAUGGUGAAGUACAAAGUGUGUCCUAUGAGGUGUGCUACACUCCAAAAGAAGUACUUAUAUUUCCUAAAUUAGACAAGCAGAAAUCCAAGGAACAUAUAUGAAACUGGAUCUUAAGGGCACAGGAUAAUGGUGGGAAAGAUUAUAAAUUUGGAUCAGGUUAUAUUUAUUCAUAUAUGCUCACUAGGCAGAGAUUCUGCAUUCAAUGUUACCGCUCUCGAAAUUAGGACAGUAACAGUUUGGGUGUUUGGCUAAAACAUAGAUCAAAAUAUGGCCUACCAUGAGUGAAUUGGAAAUGCUUAAUAUCCUCUGCUUUAACAUAAAAUAAAGGAUCCUAAGGCUUAGGGAAUUUGGAAUUUUAAAGUGGGUUUAUCUUGAGACGGAGUCUUGCUCUCUCUCCUAGUCUGGAGUGUAGUGGUGCGAUCUCGGCUCACUGCAAGCUCCGCCGCCAGGGUUCACGCCAUUCUCCUGCCUCAGCCUCCCGAGGAGCUGAGACUACAGGCGCCCGCCACCACGCCCGGCUAAUUUUUUUGUGUUUUUAGUGGAGAUGGGGUUUCACCGUAUUAGCCAGGAUGGUCUCUAUCUCCUGACCUUGUGAUCCGCCCGCUUAGGCCUCCCAAAGUGCUGGGAUUACAGGCGUGAGCCACCGUGCCUGGCCGGAUUUAUCAUUUAACACCUACUCUCCCACAUUGAAAAGGUACAGAAAGAAUAACUUUCACCACUACCUUGAGAAAUAAAUAUGUGAGGGGAGCUUAAAAGCUCUGUGAUUCCUUUUCUCUGUAGGCCACAAUUUGUAGUGGGAACCACAGCCACUCAAUAGAAAAACCUAAAUGAGAUGAGAAUAAUUGGAUCCUGGGAUGGCAAGGGCAACAUGAUGACAACUGCCAACUAAAAGGUGGGUGUAGUUACCAUAAUGGACAGCAGAGUCAAAGAAGCAAUCAGAACAGUCUGUGCAGAUCCAUGGCUUUAGCUAAUUAAUCAUGGUGUUCCUAAAAGAGAAUUAGGAAGAAAGGCUACUGAAUUCUCACUUGAUCUGUAUAAACAGAAAACUUCUAGAUUAUGUGAACAAAAUUCUAACUCAAACCAUAAAAACAAAGACAUAAAAACAAAGGCCCUCAAUUAAUUCUCAGACUUGAGUUAGUUUCCAGAACCGGAACCGGAACUCACUAAAUAAAAGGGAGGCUGGGUUCCAUUGAGAUGGGUCCCCAGUACACUAUCAAAAAUUUGUACCCUGAAUUUUUCUUCCAACCUUCCCCAAAAGGAAUUAUGGCCUUUUACCAGAGGAGCUGUGCAUUAGGAAAUAAAAUAUUCAGACCUUUGGACACUACUGGACACUGACUCUGAACUGACAUUGAUCGCAGGAGACCCAAAACAUCACUGUGGCUUCCAGUCAGAGGAGGGGCUUAUGGAGGUCAAGUGAUCCAUGGAGUUUUAGCUCUGGUGCAUUUCAGAAUGGGUCUUGUGAAUCUGUUAACCCAUCUUGUGAUUACUUCCCCAGUUCCAGAAUGAAAAAUUGGAAUAGACAUACUUUGCAGCUGUAAGAAUUCCCACAUAGGUUCCCUGACCUGUGGAGGGAGGGCUAUUAAGGUGAGACAGACCAAAUGGAAGCCAUUAAAACUGCCUCUACCUAGCAAAAUCAUAAAUCAAAUGCAAUAUAUCAUUACUGAAGGGAUUGCAGAGGUUAGUGCCACCAUCAAGGACUUGAAAGAUGCAAGAGUGGUGAUUCCCACCACAUCCUUAUUCAAAUCUCCUAUUUGGCCUCUGUGGAAGAAAUAGACCUUGGAGAAUAACAGUGGAUUACCAUUAGUUUAUCUAAGUGAUGAUUUCCAUUGUAGCUGCUAUACCACAUGUGAUUUCAUUGCUUGAACAAAUUAACACAGUCCUUGGGAUCUGAGAUGCAGCUAUUGAUCUGGAAAAUGUUUUUCUCCAUCUCUGUCCUUAAGACCAACCAGAGUUUGCUUUCAGCUGACAAGGCCAGCAACAUACUUUCACUGUCCUACCUCAGGGGCAUAUGAACUCUCCAGCCCUGUGUCAUAAUUUAGUUCACAGGGAUCUUCGCUGCUUUUUCCUUCUGCAAGAUAUUACACUGGUCAGUUACAUUGAUGAGAUUAUCCUGAUUAGGUCUAGUGACUGAGAAGUAGCAACUAUUCCAGACAUAUUGUGAGGGCAUUUGCUUGUCAGAGGGUAGGAAAUUAACCCAACUUAAAAUUAAGAGCCUUCUACCUCAGUGAAAUGUCUAGGGGUUCAGAGGUAUGGAGCAUAUUGUGAUAGUUUUUCUGAAGUGAAGGAUAAGUUGUGGAAUCUGUUCCUCUUACAACCAAGAAAGAAUCACAAAGCCUAAUAGGUCUAUGUGGAUUUUGAAUGCAAUAUAUUCCUAACUUGAGUUAUUACGACUCAUUGACUAAAUGACCUGAAAAGCUACUGUCUUUGAGUGAAGCCCCAAAAAAAAGUCAGCUCUCCAACCAGUCCAGGUUGCUAUCAAGCCUCUCUGCCACUUGUGCCAUUUGAACCAGCCAUUCCAAUAGUGCUUAAGGUGGCAGUGGCAGAUAGGGAUUUGAAGCCUGUGACAGGCUCUCAUAGGUGAAUGGUAGUACAGGUCUUCAGCAUUUGGAGCGAGGUCCUGGUAUCACCUGCAGAUAACUACUGUUCUUUUGAGAGACAGCUUUUGUUAGGUAAAAAUAUCACCUUGUUAUUGUCUUUUAUUUAGAAAUUAAGUAUAAUUUAAAAAGAUGUGUAUGGGUGCCGAACUGACAAGGUGUAUACCAGUGAGGGUUAAUGUGUCAACUUAAGUGGGAUAAGCAAUGCCCAGGUAGCUGAUAAAACAUUAUUUCUAGAUGUGUCUGUGAGGAUGUUUUAGAAAGAGGUUAGCUUUUGACUUGGUAGGCGGAGUAAAGAAGAUUGCCCUUACCAAUGUAGGUGAGCAUCAUACAAUCUAUUAAGGGCCCAAAUAGAACAGAAAGGCAGAGGAGGGAAAAUGUGCUCUUUGUGUUUGAGCUGGGACAAGCAUCCUCUCCUGCCUUUGGAAUUCAGUUCUCCUGGUUCAUGGGCCUUCAAACUCACACUAAGACUUGCACUAUUGGCCAUCUAGUUCUCAGGUCAUCAGACUGGACUGAAUUAAACCACGAUAACUCCCGAU